ACACGACUACAUUAGAUACCCCCGUAGUCCCAGCCCUAAACGAUGCGCGUUAGGUGUAUCGGUGACCACGAGUCACCGAGGUGCCGAAGGGAAACCGUGAAACGUGCCGCCUGGGAAGUACGGUCGCAAGGCUGAAACUUAAAGGAAUUGGCGGGGAGCACCACAACGGGUGGAGCCUGCGGUUUAAUUGGACUCAACGCCGGGAAGCUCACCGGAUAAGACAGCGGAAUGAUUGCCGGGCUGAUGACCCUGCAUGACCAGCUG
rnacentral:rRNA from 1 species